UGCACUCACUACUGUAAGUCGCUCUGGAUAAGAGCGUCUGCUAAAUGACGUAAA
rfam:Salmo salar isolate Sally breed double haploid chromosome ssa16, whole genome shotgun sequence.